UCCCUAGUGGCUCAACUGUAAAGCAUCUGUCUGCAAUGCAGGAGAGCCGGGUUCGAUCCCUGGGUUGGGAA
rnacentral:tRNA from 1 species